rnacentral:tRNA from 1 species
UUCGCGGUAGAUCGGUUGGUAGAGCAACUGACUUGUAAUCAGUAGGUCCCGGGUUCGACUCCUGGUGUCGGCACCA